GGGGCUGUGAUCUAGCUUGGUUAAGAUACUAGGUCGGGGACCUAGUUAUCCCCAGUUCAAAUCUGGGCAGCCCCA
rnacentral:tRNA from 1 species